rnacentral:rRNA from 1 species
AGUGAACGCUGGCGGCAGGCCUAACACAUGCAAGUCGAGCGGCAGCGCGUCCGACCACCCUCGGGUGGUCGGAUGGCGGCGAGCGGCGGACGGGUGAGGAAUGCAUCGGAAUCUGCCUCGUUGUGGGGGAUAACGUAGGGAAACUUACGCUAAUACCGCAUACGACCUACGGGUGAAAGUGGGGGACCUUCGGGCCUCACGCGAUGAGAUGAGCCGAUGCCGGAUUAGCUAGUUGGCGGGGUAAAGGCCCACCAAGGCGACGAUCCGUAGCUGGUCUGAGAGGAUGAUCAGCCACACUGGAACUGAGACACGGUCCAGACUCCUACGGGAGGCAGCAGUGGGGGAAUAUUGGACAAUGGGGGCAACCCUGAUCCAGCCAUGCCGCGUGCAGGAAGAA